CACGUAGGCACCAAGCGUUGUCCGGAUUUAUUGGGCGUAAAGCGCGCGCAGGCGGUCCUUUAAGUCUGAUGUGAAAGCCCACGGCUCAACCGUGGAGGGUCAUUGGAAACUGGGGGACUUGAGUGCAGAAGAGGAGAGUGGAAUUCCCAGUGUAGUGGUGAAAUACGUAGAGAUUGGGAAGAACACCAGUGGCGAAGGCGGCUAUCUGGACGGUUUCUGACACUAAGACUCGAAAGCGUGGGGAGCAAACAGG
rnacentral:rRNA from 1 species